CAUGCAAGUCGAGGGGCAGCAUGAACUUAGCUUGCUAAGUUUGAUGGCGACCGGCGCACGGGUGAGUAACACGUAUCCAACCUGCCGAUGACUCGGGGAUAGCCUUUCGAAAGAAAGAUUAAUACCCGAUGGCAUAGUUCUUCCGCAUGGUGGAACUAUUAAAGAAUUUCGGUCAUCGAUGGGGAUGCGUUCCAUUAGGUUGUUGGCGGGGUAACGGCCCACCAAGCCUUCGAUGGAUAGGGGUUCUGAGAGGAAGGUCCCCCACAUUGGAACUGAGACACGGUCCAAACUCCUACGGGAGGCAGCAGUGAGGAAUAUUGGUCAAUGGACGAGAGUCUGAACCAGCCAAGUAGCGUGAAGGAUGACUGCCCUAUGGGUUGUAAAUUUCUUUUAUACGGGAAUAAAGUGAGGCACGUGUGCCUUUUUGUAUGUACCGUAUGAAUAAGGAUCGGCUAACUCCGUGCCAGCAGCCGCGGUAAUACGGAGGAUCCGAGCGUUAUCCGGAUUUAUUGGGUUUAAAGGGAGCGUAGGCGGACGCUUAAGUCAGUUGUGAAAGUUUGCGGCUCAACCGUAAAAUUGCAGUUGAUACUGGGUGUCUUGAGUACAGUAGAGGCAGGCGGAAUUCGUGGUGUAGCGGUGAAAUGCUUAGAUAUCACGAAGAACUCCGAUUGCGAAGGCAGCCUGCUGGACUGUAACUGACGCUGAUGCUCGAAAGUGUGGGUAUCAAACAGGAUUAGAUACCCUGGUAGUCCACACAGUAAACGAUGAAUACUCGCUGUUUGCGAUAUACAGUAAGCGGCCAAGCGAAAGCGUUAAGUAUUCCACCUGGGGAGUACGCCGGCAACGGUGAAACUCAAA
rnacentral:rRNA from 1 species